rnacentral:rRNA from 1 species
UACGGAGGGGGCUAGCGUUGUUCGGAAUUACUGGGCGUAAAGCGCGUGUAGGCUGCUCGGAAAGUCGGAUGUGAAAGCCCUGGGCUUAACCUAGGAAGUGCAUUCGAAACUUCCGAGCUGGAGUUCUGGAGAGGAAGGCGGAAUUCUCGGUGUAGAGGUGAAAUUCGUAGAUAUCGAGAGGAACACCGGUGGCGAAGGCGGCCUUCUGGACAGUGACUGACGCUGAGACGCGAAAGCGUGGGGAGCAAACAGG